rnacentral:rRNA from 1 species
GGGAAAGCGGAAGCCGGGAAUGGAAAGCCCGGUGCAAGCGGGGUACCAGUCACUUUGGCAAAUCCGGGUGGCAAUGGGAAGCCGUGAUGCGGAGUGAAAUAAAGUAACGAAGUCCGUGAGCCAUGCGUCAAGAAAAGCCGCUAUCGUUUAUACCGUACCCGUACCGUAAACCGACACAGGUGGAUGAGGAGAGAAUCCUAAGGCCGGCGGAAGAAGCAUUGUCAAGGAACUCGGCAAAAUGGCCCCGUAACUUAGGGAUAAGGGGUGCCUGGGAAACCAGGCCGCAGAGAAUAGGCUCAAGCAACUGUUUAGCAAAAACACAGGUCUAUGCGAAACCGAAAGGUGAGGUAUAUGGGCUGACGCCUGCCCGGUGCUGGAAGGUUAAGAGGAGAGGUUAGCGGUAACGCGAAGCUUUGAAUUUAAGCCCCAGUAAACGGCGGCCGUAACAAUAACGGUCCUAAGGUAGCGAAAUUCCUUGUCGGGUAAGUUCCGACCCGCACGAAAGGCGUAAUGAUUUGAGCGCUGUCUCGACAAUGCAUCCGGUGAAAUUGAAGUACCAGUGAAGAUGCUGGUUACCUGCGCCAGGACGGAAAGACCCCAUGGAGCUUUACUCCAGUCUGGUACUGGGACUCGGUAUUGCAUGUACAGGAUAGGUGGGAGGCUAGGAGAUGGUAACGCCAGUUGCCAUGGAGCCGCUGUUGCGAUACCACCCUUGCAGUAUUGGGUUUCUAACCAGCCGCCGUGACCCGGCGGUGAGACAAUGCCAGACGGGGAGUUUGACUGGGGCGGUCGCCUCCGAAAGGGUAUCGGAGGCGCCCAAAGGUUCCCUCAGAAUGGACGGAAACCAUUCGAAGAGUGCAAAGGCAGAAGGGAGCUUGACUGCGACACCGACGGGUGGAGCAGGUACGAAAGUAGGGCUUAGUGAUCCGGUGGUAUUAAGUGGGAAUGCCAUCGCUCAACGGAUAAAAGCUACCCUGGGAUAACAGGCUUAUCACUCCCAGGAGUUCACAUCGACGGAGUGGUUUGGCACCUCGAUGUCGGCUCAUCGCAUCCUGGGGCUGUAGUAGGUCCCAAGGGUUGGGCUGUUCGCCCAUUAAAGCGGUACGCGAGCUGGGUUCAGAACGUCGUGAGACAGUUCGGUCCCUAUCCGGCGUGGGCGUAGGAUAUCUGAGAGGAGCUGUCCUUAGUACGAGAGGACCGGGAUGGACGGGCCGCUGGUGCAUCGGUUAGACUGCCAAGUCUACGGCCGAGUAGCCAAGCCCGGAAGGGAUAAACGCUGAAGGCAUCUAAGCGUGAAGCCCCCCUUAAGAUGAGAUAUCCCAUUCGAAAGAAGUAAACCCCCUUGAAGACGACGAGGUAGAUAGGGCAGAGGUGGAAGUGUGGCAACACAUGGAGCUGACUGUUACUAAUCGGGUGAGGGCUUGACCG